AAUAGUAAAAUCGAGCACGCGCAUUUUAAACGCGGUGAGUGUGUAACGCCGAAGGUAAAUGGUCUGUUAUUAACGCGAAAAUAAGAACAUGAAAGUAUAAAGUCGAUUUAACUUAAUGCAUUAAAGUUUUUCGAAAAUGUUUCAUGAAGAUUUCUUUUACGACUGGUAUUACAAUAUCGACGAAAAAGGACGCUAUUACAAAAAGAAGGCCUAACAGUGGCUAUGGCUUCAUGUGUUCCCCUUAACUGUAAUAUAAAAUUCACGAGACAACAAAUAAGUGGAUUCGCAGACAGAAUAAUUAACAUAUUAAAUGACGAAAAUUGUCGGAGGUUGUUUAGAAAGUUUUUGGAAGAUACAAACGACAGACGGAAACUUACAACCCUGAAAUUUUGGGAAAGGGCACAUUCUGAUAAUUUUGAAGACGAAGACGAAAUUGUCGAGUACAUGCUCGACGUAGACGGUUUCAACGAUGGGCCCUUUUUGUCCAUAACGGAACAUCAACACAAAAUACAAUUUAUAAAGGAAGAAUGUGCUAGGUGUCUUCAAAAUAGAGGAAAAAGAGCGCACGAAAAUUUUGUUAGAUACCUUGAAAAACAUCACAUGCUUGAAUAAAUUAUCCUAUUUUUUUA